rnacentral:rRNA from 1 species
CCUACGAGAGGCAGCAGUGGGGAAUAUUGGGCAAUGGAGGCAACUCUGACCCAGCAACGCCGCGUGAAUGAUGAAGGUCUUCGGAUUGUAAAGUUCUGUGAUGGGGGAUGAACACAAUGACGGUACCCCAAUAGCAAGCCACGGCUAACUACGUGCCAGCAGCCGCGGUAAUACGUAGGUGGCAAGCGUUAUCCGGAAUGACUGGGCGUAAAGGGUGCGUAGGUGGUUUAGUAAGUUGGCGGUGUAAUUCCGGGGCUCAACCUCGGCGCUACCGCCAAAACUAUUAGACUAGAGUGCAGGAGGGGUAAGUGGAAUUCCUAGUGUAGCGGUGGAAGGCGUAGAGAUUAGUAGGAACAUCAGGGGCGAAGGCGACUUACUGGACUGUAACUGACACUGAGGCACGAAAGCGUGGGGAGCAAACAGGAUUAGAUACCCGGGUAGUC